CGGAGAGCCCAGCCGAGGCCCCAGGGCAGAUGCCCUCUGUGUCUCCUGCUGGAUGUGGCACCGAGUCUUGGCGGGCGCUGCUGCCUCACCGUGCUGGAGGGCUGGCUAAAGUAACUACAGAAGGAAUUGAUUUCUUUUACUGCUGAAAAGCAGCCUUCCCGCAGAUGGAAGGUGGCAGCUCUUGAUCCAAGAGGAUCGAUUUGCUGCAGUCAGUCUGCUCAGCUUACAGAAAAACUCCGCACAACUGGCUGGCUGCAGAAGCAGAGAGGAGGCUCCGCCAAGCCGGCUCAGGAGUCUGAAGCAGCUAGAAGCUCUGCCCAGGAGAACAGAGGAGCAGCUGUCACCUGAGAGAGGCCCCAGCAUAAAUCACAGGCACCAGGAAAGGAGAGCAGGCUCAACUGAGCACCAGGACACUCUUGGCUUUUGUCCAUUGACGACCUGCCGGGGAACUGGGCUGUGUUUCCUUUUGCCUCCAAAUCAGACACGUUCAUGCUGAAAACCUUAGCCCCUGCUGCUACCCUCUUCAAAUAGAAAUAAAGAACAGUCUGGACCCCGGAAGGCAGCUCUUUAAAUCGCCCUCUGCCCAAGCUGCCUUCCCCGGGCAGCCAUUGCUGAACUUGUCAGCACCCUUGUCGAGUUCCCUCCCGGGGGGCCCGAUGCCGUGAUUACAUGGUGCUAGGUGCUGAGCGUAUUCCAAAAUCAUAGUUCCUUCCAGUUAAACAAGGCAGUUUAACCCAUGCAGUCAGCUCUUCUUCCUCCUGAAACCUCACUAAAAUGACUGCUGAAGAGUAAAAUGUGAUGAAGCCACAGGAUAGAAGAAAUGUG
rnacentral:lncRNA from 1 species